rnacentral:lncRNA from 1 species
GUUUUUGUUUAUUGUUUAAUGUAUGUUUCUCACUGUUUUUAAGUGCUGUGUUUUGACACUAAGUGGUAAAAGUUUAAGCAGUUAUUAUAUCUCUAGUUAUCUACUUACAUAGUGAUUUUUCUGCAUUUACCUCAAUGACCCUGUAAUUGCAAAGGCUUCAGCCUUAUGUGAAUAUAAUCAGGAUUCUGACAUCAGUCAGUAUUGGCAUAAGAUGAUACUGACAGACAGACAUUUCUGCCUUAUGAGCUAUAGUAUGUGGGUUGUCAUGUGAGUAAGGAUGGAAGAGAGAUUCAGAAACACAAUGACAAACAAUUCUUGUGAUCAACAUUUUGGAUCUUUAUUUGAUGAGAGAGAGAUUGUCAUGAUACAUCCCAUAAGGAGAGAAUAAAUAUCUAAUAAUUCAAGAGGAUCUUUGGCAAUUCUUGACAGUUCGUUAUUGAGAACACUGAUUGUCUGAUGUUCACAUCAUCUUUCCAGUAUCAUGAUGUUGGACCAUCAUCAUCUUCUCAGUAAAUGAAGAAUAGAUGGUCAUCAUCUAUUCUUCAUCUGCUGAGGACCCUUUUGUAUGCAGUGACAAAUCUAAGGUUUCCAGUGGAUUUUCUUGUAGGACAACGAAAAAUGGUGCACACUUCCUGUCGAGAAUCUGAUCUCUCAAGGCAGGAGUUAUUCUUCUUAUUUUUGCAGGUGGAGUCUGUCUCUCUGUCCAGUGGAGGUAGAAGGUUGGGUUGAUGAUUGUAAAACCAUUAUCGAGGAAAAUCUAUCAAGUUUUCUUUCUCCUUUCCUUUGUAGGAGUGAUACAGAUGAUGCUUGGUCCAUAACAACCAGAAGUUAGACUUGUUGGAAAUCAGGGAGUUUCUGGAGUAUGUGAGACCUGAAUUACAGUCAUAUGAGAUCUUAAAGGAGCUGACUGAUCUGUUGAAUAAGCCUUGUCUCAGUUUGACCGAUGAGAGUUUCUCUCUUCUUUAGUCCAUUCUCCCACAGUGCUGGCAAUCAACUGCCUAUUUAGUAUCUCAGAAUCAGGGAUCAAAACAUGCCAUUUAACCUAAAAUCCCUGGGCUUCAACACAUUCUGGAUCUUGUUUAUUAUAUCUUUUAGUGGUGCUGCUUUGCUGCAUUACUCCCAGGACAUCUUCAUAAAUAUUAUCCCUUGUCCCUGAUAAGUAAUUCUUGUUUUGUCUUAGAGAUUUACAAUGCUGGGAAUGAAGUUUCAUACAGGGCAAUGCAACUCAGUCAAUGUUUAUUUUCCUAUUUAUUCUUAGAAUUGUUUUCUCCUCUUUACAAUUUUUUUGUUAAAUAAUUUAAUUCUUUCAUAUAUCAAAAUUAUAAAUUAUGUUUGUUGUGAUCCCCACAAAUUAGUUAAAUUAUAACUCUCCACUCUCAUCUUGAGAAAAUAUCUAUUUGGUUGAUUCAUCCAUACAUUCAUUCAGUUAUACAUCCACAAAUGAGAUGUAAUCUGCAUCAAUCGAUCUGCUAAUUGUUUAAUAUUUGUGGUUUCCUCUUUUGUGCCCACUUAAUAUUUCUGCCAUCACUCCUCUGAAC